GACGAACGCUGGCGGCGUGCUUAACACAUGCAAGUCGAGCGGUAAGGCCCUUUCGGGGGUACACGAGCGGCGAACGGGUGAGUAACACGUGGGUGACCUGCCCUCAGCUCUGGGAUAAGCCUGGGAAACCGGGUCUAAUACCGGAUAUGACUCCAUGACGCAUGUUGUGGGGUGGAAAGCCUUGUGCGGCUGAGGAUGGGCCCGCGGCCUAUCAGCUUGUUGGUGGGGUGAUGGCCUACCAAGGCGACGACGGGUAGCCGGCCUGAGAGGGCGACCGGCCACACUGGGACUGAGACACGGCCCAGACUCCUACGGGAGGCAGCAGGUGGGGUAAUUUUGCGCAAGUGGGCGAAAGCCUGACGCAGCGACGCCGCGUGAGGGAUGA
rnacentral:rRNA from 1 species